rnacentral:rRNA from 1 species
CAGCAGCCCGAGUGGUGAUCGAUUUUAUUGAGCCUAAAGCGUCCGUAGCCGGACUAGUAAACCCUUGGGUAAAUUGGGCAGCUUAACUGUCCGAAUUCCGAGGGGACUGCUAGUCUUGGGACCGGGAGAGGUCAGAGGUACUCCAGGGGUAGGGGCUAAAUCCUGUAAUCCUUUGGGGACCACCAGUGGCGAAGGCGUCUGACUAGAACGGAUCCGACGGUAAGGGACGAAACCCUGGGGCGCGAACCGGAUUAGAGACCCGAGUAGUCC